rnacentral:lncRNA from 1 species
GGGACAAAGAUGAAUGCAAGUUAAAGUGACAAGAACACUAAGGGAGCAGAAGCAAGCCAUUUAAGGGUAAAAAUGGAAUUUUCUGCUAUAAAGUAAAGCUCUGCAUAAAAAUAAGACAGAACAGGAGAUCUAGUAAGGGUUUAUUCAUAAGACCCCAUGCUGAGGAUUUCAAGGAGACAGUCACGUUUCUGGGUAACUGACUAUGGGAUUGUCCCUCAUGGGGCCAAGUAACCUGUCAAAGCAACGAGGCUUCCUACUCAACAAGCCCUGUGGCCACCCUGCCAGCUGGAGGCUCUAUCUGAAGCCUGGAACAGCUGUCAACAUGCCUUGAAUCCAACAGGUCCCGAUGUGACCUCGGUCUUUUACCUCUGCACAAAGUUACGGCUUAUGGCUGUUUGGACAGUCUGGUUUGUCGAUCGUUUGGUCUGAAAGACUGUUUUUUUCUUUUUUGAGAUGGGGCCUUGCUCUCUCACCGAGGCUGCAAUGCAGUGGCACGAUCUCAGCUCACGGCAACAUCCACCUCCCAGGUUCAAGUGAUUCUCCUGUCUCAGCCUCCUGAGUAGCUGGAACUAUAGUCACACGCCACCAUGCCCGGCUAAUUUUUGCAUUUUCAGUUUCACCAUGUUGGCUAGGCUGGUCUCCAACUCCUGACUUCAGGUGAUCCACCUACCUCGGCCUCCCAAAAUGCUGGGAUUACAGGCGUGAGCCACCGCCCGGCCCAAUGCUGUUUUUUUUUUUUUUUUUUUUUUUUUUUUUUUUAUCACUUGCAUUCAUCCUGUGGUUUCCAUCCCAGCUCAUGGCAUCCUGCCCAGGGUAUCACUCCCUCCCUCCUCACUUCCUGCCACAGCCUCCUCCCUCUCCCUUUUCUAAGGUUCUCACACACGGCUGCCAGGUUCCUCACCUGGAGGACAGCCCUGAUCACCUCCUGUGGAUGGGCUCUUCUCAAGCAUGGCUUCCAAGUACCCAGAUUCACAGAGGCUUCCUCCUUGAAGAGUCUACAACAGACCUGAUACCAUAAUUGGGCACACAUCCUUCUGAAAUUCCUUCUAGAAAAUGAUUUAAUCUACUAAGAAAGCCCACAUUUGAAUUCAUUCAUUCCGAAAAGAGUCUCCAUCCACUUCCUAGGUUUUGAGCUCUUUUUAUGAGUCCAUGGAAGCUGCCAUGGUUUUCUCUGCGUCCAUGGCCAUAUUUUCCCUCUGGGUUCUUGUUUCUU